CUUGCCUCUGGUGUUUUAUUACAAAGGAUUAUGGCAUGAAAAGCCAUUUUGUUCCCCUCUUCCCAAUGCAUAUCCCCCUCUCCAUGAUUUAUUCCUCUCCACAGGCAACAGCUGGGGUAUGACAUCCCAGGAAAUGGAGGGGAAAAUAAGGUGGGGGCUCAAACCCAUAGCGGGGAUGCACCCAAUGCCCAAGUCGUGACAGAAGUUUACCAGGGGUACCUGAGACUGCUCAUGCACCUUCAUAAUGUGAGGGGUGGAAAAACAAAAUCAAAAGCUUUCCAUGGUGGAUAAGGAAUUGUCAUCUCACUCUGUCUGGACAGGGCAGAGAUCAGUGUCCUCUUCUUGGACACUGCUGUCCCCAAGCCUGUGUGCCGCACUGCCAGUGCUGGUGGCACCCUGUGAUAUCACAGCCCCAAACCUGCCUGGAAGAACUUGUAUGGGAAUCUCCUGCUGACCACGGGGAACCUGGGGCCAGGUUGGGCACAGCAUGAUGCAGGGUACCAGCUUGGCACAGAGGGAACCAGCUCCGGAGCCAUGGGCAGCAGAUAAGCAUGUUGCAACAGAUGCCUUGUGCUGUGUCCUGAAGGACCAUCCUGUCUGUGCACUUACAUCAGGGGGAGGACAACAAGGAGUAGGGUGGUGAACCCAGCUUUAAGAAGAAAGCCCAUGCAUGAGAUGUGAGAGGGAAGAGAGCUGUUAAGAGGAGGAAAUCCCAAGAAGGCUUUCAAUAUAAUUGCUGUAGACACAAGAAGACAACCCUCUUUCAGAGCAACCACUGUAAGAGCUUAAGCCCUACUUUCUAGAAAGCAGCUGGACAUCACCUGCUGAUGAGAAGUAGAGAAUAAAUCCUUUGCUUUCCACA